AGUGGUUAGGUAACAGUAGGAUAGAGUGUUAGAGGGUUGGUACCAUGUAGUGGUAAGGUAACAGUAGGAUACAGUGUUAGAGGGUUGGUACCAUGUAGUGGUUAGGUAACAGUAGGAUACAGGGUUAGAGGGUUGGUACCAUGUAGUGGUUAGGUAACAGUAGGAGACAGUGUUAGUGGUUAGGUAACUGUAGGAUACAGUGUUAGUACCAUGUAGUGGUUAGGUAACUGUAG